rnacentral:lncRNA from 1 species
CUCCAGCCCCCAACCUGGCCAGGGCUGGGGACACAUGCCCUGAAUCCAUUUCACCAGAGCCAAAAGUUGUCUUGGAAGGAGCAGGUGAGCAUGGAUACAGGGCUUUAGUCAAUAUUUGCAAGGCUGUUGGCAGAUUAGAUAUAUCUGUAUCCAAACACUGCAAUCUGAUUUCUCUGUCAAAAAUACACUUAACAUUUUUCUCCCUUUAGUUAGCUCUAGUGGUUUUUCUUAGUGGCUGGUAAGGCCUGCUUAGCCCACUUUUGUCUGUGUGUGUGUGCGUGUGUGUAUGUGUAUGUGUGUGUGUGUGUGUGUGUGUGUGUGUGUGUGUGUAUGUAGGUUAUAUAUCAUUAUUUAACAUGAGAUAUUUCCUGUGGGUGCAACUGCAGUACAAAUGGGCUCCAAGUUCUCUGGACACAUAUGGAUGUGUAUAUCAUUUUAUACACAUGGUCUCCAACUCCUGUGACUAUGUACACAUGCAGUGAUUCUGUUGUGUGCAGAGAUUCAAAUCAUAUGUACACAGUGAGUUGCAAAUUCCUAAAAUACUCAACCUAUAUUUGAUAAUAAAUAGACAUACAGGAGCUGAGAAAGUAACCCAGGUUUACUAUCCCCCUGUUUACCUUCUAUCUGAUAAGAUAAUAAUUGUAUCCAGAACAACAUAUCAGCCUUACAGCAUCACUGAAUAGCAUGUUGCACUUAAUUAACAACCUGAUAUCUAUUUGGGGAGCAAAUUUUAGGGAAGACUGAGGCCCGCGGAAUAGAAAACAAAAACUCAGAAAACUUUUUAAAAUAAAUAACUCCUGAAAGAACAAAGCAAACCCAUUCCUUCAUACCAAGCUUCUGAAAGCUAUUCCAACAGCCCCUCCCCCAAACAGGCACAAAAUUUAUGGAUCUUUUACAAGGUAAUAAACCACAGUAAUUACCUCCCUGCAUCCCAAACUAAGAGAACAAAUUAAGCCAGAACUUGGAAAGAAUUUUAAAGAGUCUUCCCUUGUUUCCAGUAGGAAAAGAAAACGCAGAGACCUGGGAAACGCGUGCUUUUCCCGUAGGAAAAAGAGCAGUUCCGCCCACCUAAAGGAACGGAGAAGACCCGCUGCCUGCGACGGUCUACACAUUCGAAAGGCAGCAACCUCCCUCAUGCCGCGGAAAGGCAAAAGGAUAGGAGAAACUGCAAGGCGGCGAGACAAGUUUCCUCAACGCAGAUCUGUGACUGACGACCAUUCCCGAACUCACAGUCUCCGCGGGCGCCGCAAACAGUCGACAGGGAGCGCGGCCCACGCAGCGGCCGCCGCACCCGUGGCCUCUACUUGCUUCUGCCCUGCUGCUCGGUGUAGGGGUUUGUUUGGAGCUCGCUCGAAGAAACAAACACGCUCCUCUGACACCCCCGGCCGCCCCCGCACGCACAUCUUCGGUCUCUGCAACCGCCCCGCCUGCACAGUGCCGGCCGUUUUUCGGGGCAGACUCUUUGUCUGCCUGAAACCCCGCAUUCCCGGGGCGUGCAGCGCAAGAGAACCCAGCUCCAAAACGUCUCCGAGGUUAAAUAUUGACCAGAACCUCCUUCAAGGGGCUGCAGCUGCCUGGACGAGGAAACUCCUUCCAAAGGCCCGUGCAAAGCCCGGAGGAGUGAAGAGUUGGCGCAGCGCUUACCUCGAAAGAUGUUUAAGACUGAACCAGUGAUUGUCUCCAACUCCGGGCACUCAGGGAAUCGCCUUUUCCGGUGUCCUGGCGCUCUGCGGAC